UUGCUCGUACCUUCUCUCUUACUUGAACCUCUUCUUCAUUCUGGUCUUUCGACGCUUUAUACCCUGAAGCUUCCUGCGCCAAAUCGUUUUCUCUCUGAUUCUCUUUCCGUGGUAUAUGCUGGAGGCUUACUUGCUCAAAUCUCUUGAGUAGUCUGAUGGUAAUCACAAAAUACAUGAUUAAAUUUUCUUUGACACAACUGUAUUCUUUUGAUACCUAUUUAAUUACUAACUCAGAGUCUCCCAUAAU
rnacentral:lncRNA from 1 species